rnacentral:rRNA from 1 species
GACGAACGCUGGCGGCGUGCCUAAUACAUGCAAGUAGAACGCUGAAGGAGGAGCUUGCUUCUCUGGAUGAGUUGCGAACGGGUGAGUAACGCGUAGGUAACCUGCCUGGUAGCGGGGGAUAACUAUUGGAAACGAUAGCUAAUACCGCAUAAUAGUAGAUGUCGCAUGACAUUUGCUUAAAAGGUGCAAUUGCAUCACUACCAGAUGGACCUGCGUUGUAUUAGCUAGUUGGUGAGGUAACGGCUCACCAAGGCAACGAUACAUAGCCGACCUGAGAGGGUGAUCGGCCAAACUGGGACUGGGACACGGCCCAGACUCCUACGGGAGGCAGCAGUAGGGAAUCUUCGGCAAUGGACGGAAGGCUGACCGAGCAACGCCGCGUGAGUGAAGAAGGUUUUCGGAUCGUAAAGCUCUGUUGUAAGAGAAGAACGAGUGUGAGAGUGGAAAGUUCACACUGUGACGGUAUCUUACCAGAAAGGGACGGCUAACUACGUG